GUAUCUGAUUUUGAUUAUUCAAAUAGUCAACUAAUUUAGUAAUUGAAUAAUCGCUAACUGGAAUAUGCAAACCCUUAAACAUGGCGUCUGCUUAAAAAAACAACAGCCACACUGCAGUAAUUAAGCCAAAAUUUUUCAAAAAUAGGUACAUUUUAGCAUUUAAAGUGAAAAAUCUGUUUUUGCUUGACGAUCUGGAGUAUCCAGAACUGAAGUGGCAAUUUUAUUUUCACCAGCUUCAAAUUCUGUAAAAAAAAAAAAGAAAAAUCUUUUCAGCACAUUUUGCUAUCCAAUUAUUAAUUGGUUAAUCAAAUAAAUAAACAGGUUAGACCUACACUGUGUUCAUGUUAUGUCAAGCAGAAAGGGCCGAGCUUUCUGCAUGUUGAUGUUUGAAUUUUUUUAUAUUUACCUUUUUUUUUUAGCUGAUGUAAGUGAAUAAGCACACACUAAAGAAAUGCUUAUUACAUUUUUGUCUAUUACAUGUUUAUUUUGUUACUUAAAAAUGAAUUGAAUUUUUUGUUUAUUUGCACAUCCAAUGUGCCAAUUAUUUUUAAUGUGUGAUAGUUGUUACAGUUGUUGAGAUUGAAAAGUGUGGCAAAACGUAGAGCAUGUGACCCAUGUACGGAGGCCUCAGUCCUCGAUGCGGCUGUCGCAGGUUCGAGUCCCAGUCUGUUACUCUUUUCUGUACGUCCUCCGCCUCUCUCAUAAUCCACUUUCCUGUCAACUGACUGUCAAAUAAAGGCCAUUAGGACAAAAAAAAUCCUUAAAAAAAGAUUAAAGAUUGAAAAUGGAUGUGAAAAGCCUCUAUUGUUGUGUGUUAUUGUGUAUUAUUGGAACUGUGUUUGUUUAGUUAAGAGAUAUGUGCUUUCCCCUUCCCAAUGUAAACUGGAUACAAAGAAAUAAAGCUAACCAUGUAUGUGAUUUAUUAAAAUAUGUACCGUAUGUUUUGUUUUGACCAGGGAAACUGGUCAGAUUUAAGGAAAAACAAAUGGAGCGCAUUUCUUUGGAUACCAGUCAAAGUCCUCACCUAAACAGAGAAAAUCUGUUUUGCAAAUGUUUUCUUUGCAAAAAUGUUGAAAUAAAUGUGUUUUUUUUUUUGGGACAACUAAAAGCAGAGCAGCUGAUUCAAUGGGCUGCGUAGGAAGACAAGUGCUGGAGUAGAUUCAUGAGGUAAGAGGAAGCAAGAUCAGUUUGGCUUUUAUAAGCAGUGUUUGUGCGUGCCAGUUAAAACGACAAGAUGUGACAUUCAGCUAGAACAAAUACUUUUACAAAUACCUGUAGGUCAACAACUGUCAUAAAUUUUAUUUUAAUUAAUAGAUCUGACACAAAAAUGGUGAGUUUGCUUUUCAGUUUCAUUUACCAGGAAACGAAAAUGGAGAGAACACUCCCUCCUCUCCUGUCUCCCUCCCACACAAACACACACAGACGCAGCUUUAAAGACCAAAAAGCAAUCUGUGCUGCCGGAAUUGAAGAUGUCAAGAAAAAUUGUGAGUUACUGUGCUGCUCUGCUCCUCACUGUGACGUCGGUGUACGCUGCACGGAGAAGUCUGAACUCAAUCAACGAUCUGAAAACCUGCCACCAGUUUGAUGACACAAACAUCUUAGAACUUCUUCACUGGUUUGCUUGCAAAGUUGACAUCGACUACAACAAUAUCAUCCAGCUGACCUUUGAUCCAAACUCAGGUGCUUUUUGCUGCCAUUAUUACAGAAAUCAGGAGGGACUCCUGGAAUCUCCACCUUGGGGCUACCAUUACUACACAAUUGGCAAUUUUCUUCAAGCCACUUCAGCAUCACUUCCAUCUUAUGUAGUAAAUUCCCAGAGGAAUACUGUCGGCAACAGCGCUCGAAUCCUAAUUCGCGUAAAUAACGGCAGACAGAUAGACCAAGUCUUCAUCACUCAGCAUUAUGAUGAAUAUGAAAAUCAGGGAUCAAGCUAUGAUCCAGAACAGACAUUCAGAAUCACCACCAACUUUUUGAGGCAACUCAGGAAGCAUUCUGUUAAUGAAAUCCAACAACUUGCUGAUGGUUCCCAAACUGGACCGAUUAGAAACACCUCAAAUGCUUACUCCCAUGAAAUUCACCAACCUAAGCAAGACAUGCAAAUAGAUAUGCCGUAUACCCCAGUUAGGCAAGAUGACAACUGUAUAGCAAAUGUUUACUGUUUAAUUUGUGCUCUUUUUAUUAUUUUGUUCAUUUUUGGGUCUUACUUUGGUAAUUGGCGCAAAUAACAAUGUGAAAUAAGUGGGAAGGGAACAUGUCAUAUUAUCUUAAGAAACAUGCAACUGUGGUGCUUAUUGAUAGUAAUAAUGACAACGCCUUUUUUCUAAAGAAUUUUUGUGACACGUUUUGAUCAAAUAUUUUGUGCAUUUUGUAAAAAUAUGAUUCAAGUGUGUAAAGACUGUUUUUACUGUAUAUAUGAAAGCACACAUCUGCCUUGUAUCAAGCAAUAAUUUGCAUUCAGACAGCAUGCAUUAAACCAGUAAAUGUCUAUUUAAAACAGCAGCUAAAUAAAAUUGCGUCUCCACUUUAA